GUACGGGAGGCAGCAGUGGGGAAUUUUGCGCAAUGGGGGAAACCCUGACGCAGCAACGCCGCGUGAGUGAUGAAGGCCUUCGGGUCGUAAAGCUCUGUCAGAGGGAAAGAAGUGUAUUAUGGUUAACGCCCAUGAUACUUGACGGUACCCUCAAAGGAAGCACCGGCUAACUCCGUGCCAGCAGCCGCGGUAAUACGGAGGGUGCGAGCGUUGUUCGGAAUUAUUGGGCGUAAAGCGCGUGUAGGCGGCUCCUUAAGUCUGAUGUGAAAGCCCCGGGCUCAACCUGGGAAGUGCAUUGGAAACUGGGGAACUUGAAUACGGGAGAGGGUAGUGGAAUUCCUGGUGUAGGAGUGAAAUCCGUAGAUAUCAGGAGGAACACCGGUGGCGAAGGCGGCUGCCUGGACCGAUAUUGACGCUGAGACGCGAAAGCGUGGGGAGCAAACAGGAUUAGAUACCCGCGUAGUCCC
rnacentral:rRNA from 1 species